AUACGGAGGGGGUUAGCGUUGUUCGGAAUUACUGGGCGUAAAGCGCACGUAGGCGGACUGGAAAGUUGGGGGUGAAAUCCCGGGGCUCAACCCCGGAACUGCCUCCAGAACUUCCAAUCUAGAGAUCGAGAGAGGUGAGUGGAAUUCCAAGUGUAGAGGUGAAAUUCGUAGAUAUUUGGAGGAACACCAGUGGCGAAGGCGGCUCACUGGCUCGAUACUGACGCUGAGGUGCGAAAGCGUGGGGAGCAAACAGGAUUAGAAACCCUAGUAGUCC
rnacentral:rRNA from 1 species